UACGUAGGGUGCAAGCGUUAAUCGGAAUUACUGGGCGUAAAGCGUGCGCAGGCGGUUUUGUAAGUCUGUCGUGAAAGCCCCGGGCUCAACCUGGGAAUUGCGAUGGAGACUGCAAGGCUUGAAUCUGGCAGAGGGGGGUAGAAUUCCACGUGUAGCAGUGAAAUGCGUAGAUAUCUGGAGGAACACCGGUGGCGAAGGCGACAUCCUGGACCGGUAUUGACGCUGAGGCGCGAAAGCGUGGGGAGCAAACAGG
rnacentral:rRNA from 1 species